UUUUGAUAUCCUUUGCGCUCAUUCAUUACAACUUUGCAAUGGUAAAAGUCUGCAAAAGUAAUACAAUACACUUCAUUUAAAAAAAAUAUAAAUAACAAUUAAUCGACAGAUUCAUUAGAACAUUUGUGGAAUAUUUGAAGAUAUAUGGGCCUCUACUUUCACCUAACUUGUGAAAGUCAUGUUUUCCCAACAAUUGAUACAACACAUGGUUCUUUCCACUAAAAUAAUUUAUAUGUCCAUCUCAUCGCACUAUAAUAAAAUUUCUCUUUUAAGCUUGAAUGUAAUCACUUCUAUGUAGAAGUUUAAUGAUAAAAAUAAAAUAAUGUAGUUAAUUAUUUUAUCUAUGUAGAAGUUUAAUAAUAAAAAUAAAAUAAUCUAGUUAAUUAUUUUCAACUUUCAACAAUACAUAUGAAUAAAAAAAUAACAAAGGAAGUAGUGUAUAUUGUAUUUUCUUUCUAAUUACAUUGACUAUUAUUAUUAUUAGGUAAAUAUACAUUGACUUAGAAAAAAUAAUUGAGUCAUCAUUUAAUCUGUGAUGUUGAACAGGUUAUUGUAUCAAGCAUCUUAAUUGUUAGAAAUGCUAUCAAAACAAAAAUUAUACUCUAAAAUGCUUGCAUGAUCUCAUAUUCAUUGGAAAACAAAAUAUGUAAGUGGUGACUCCAGAAAUGUAUGAGGAUAAUAUUUUGGUUAUCAACUAUGUACGUAGUAAUAAAAUAAAAAUUAUGAAGCUUCAAGUAGAAAAUUAAACCACUAAUGGUCAAGGCACAACCAAUAAGCACAUCAGAGGUUUGUGAAAAAAAUGUGUAUACCUCUGCAUAUAUAUUCAUGGGUGUUGUCUCUUCAUGCGGCAGGUGAAGUAGUUGAUCAAAUAUGUUUUGUGCUCACUUUUUUAUAAACUACAUCAAAUUUCAAAUAAGAUAGAUAAAAUGUAACUGCCAUGAAAAAAUCAGAGAGGAGAUAAAUUUCUCUGAUGUAGUAGAGAGAGGAAAUAUAGAUUAAGAGUAAAUUGAAAGAGCCUUUGGUUAUUGAGGUAUAGUUAUUAGCAAGCACAAUAUAUGAAAUUAAAAACUACUCCAUCUCGGUGGUUAGAACAUGUUUUCCCUUUAUGUAGUGGUAUAGAUAAAAGAGAACAUAUAAACUUCAAGUAAGGAUACCUUAACUUUCCAAAUUAUUGUUACCUGACUUAAGACACCUGUCAUUUAAAUGUAGAGAAAGUUACUGUUAGGAGGCUUAAAUUCCAACUAAAAGUCAAUCAAGAUUAUAAAAAUGUAUUAUAUGGUACUAAAAUUGGCUACAAAUAAGAAAUAAGUUGGUAUCAUUUAUAUAAAUAACCAUAUAUAAAAUAUAUGAAGCAUACAUGCACAAUCAAAUACCAUCAAAGAAUUUACUCACUUUUGCCUCAUUGUAACAUGGGCCUAAUCGGAUAUGCAGAAAGCCUAUCUUUUAGAAAAAAGAAAGGAGGAGAUAUAACAAUCAAAAUAUCAGUAGGACAAAAAAAGAUAAAAAAUAGAGGACAAAAAAAGGCAAAAGAAGAACACAAUCCUUAUUUAGAUUAUAAGCUAAUGCAAUGUAACUAAGGGCAGAGGAGUAAUAUGAAAGGUGAAGGAGAUGUAAACACCAACAAUACCAAUAUACAUAAUAACUCUAAAGGUUGAAAUGAUUCCACAAAAUUUAUUCCUACCCAUCCUUCAUAUUAUUGACAAAUUCUGUAUACCUAAGCCAACAUCCCCUCCUAAACAUGUCAAGAUAGAAGGCUUAGGUUUUGACAUUUCUUCCUUUAAGUGGCUUAUAUUCUGGAGUAUUUUACAUUUUAUCAAUGCUGAAAUUUUGGUUUUAGCUAUUUGUAUGUCCAUGUUUUAUGAAGCGUAAACACAUUAUAAAACUAACAAUUAUUUUAUGUUAGGAUGCAUGUUUCAACAAUUACGAAACUAAAAAUUAUAAAUUAAAUUAAAUUUCAGCAAACAUAAAAAUUUAAAGAUAUGUUAAAGAAAGCUUGACAAUAACUUUCUUAAUAAGAUGCAAAUCAUAAACACGUUUGUUUUAGUGAAUAUUUGGCAUUUCAUCGAACAUAAUGGAAGCAAAGUAUGAAAAACUUAUAAAUUUAAGGAUAUGUUAGAAAAGGUUGACAGUAACCCUCUCAAAAAAUAUAAAGCAUAAACACAAACCAUCUUAGUGUCACUUUGGCAUCUUUGAACAGAAUGUAAGCGAAGAGAAAAAUAUGAUAAGAGUGUGUAGGCAUGAAAUUAAUAGAAGGUAAGCCAAUUAUAAACAAAUGAGCGACAAUAUAUUUGAAUACAACACAUAGUGUGUACCUCAUAUUUAUUAAUACAUCUCAAAAAAAUUGUUGGAAGAGUGAAUGACGGAAAAUUGAAUCAAAUGAACACAUGUG
rnacentral:lncRNA from 1 species